rnacentral:misc_RNA from 1 species
UUAUUAUUAUUAUUAUUAUUAUCUCUAAGUGGAAUUCAACAUAUACAGAAAUCUCAAAGAACAAUUAGUCCUCAUGGUCCCAAAGAUCAGCUACGCUUCCGAAUGGACCUUUACUCUUGUUCACAAACAGAUCCUCCCCAUCCAGCACUCGUCUCUGUACCCUGAUCUGGAAUACUGCAGAGAGCCUGGAAAUCUUCCUCUGGGAUUUCCCAGCCAAAGACCUGAAUGUGUUCUUUGAUCCUUUCAGGGUGGCUUGAUUUGGGUUUGACACUGGUUCCUCUUUGGAGCGCCCACUUCACUAGCUUCUGUGCUGGGGUCUUCUUUAGCUUUUUUGCAAUUCUGUCAACUGUUCUGUCAUGUAUGAGAUCUCUGCCUCCUUCUGAUGAUCCCAAAGGCGAAUAUGCCUGGAUAAAUUUUCCUUCCAUAGUUAUCUUACCCAUGGAAUAUCCAAACAGAAGGAAUAAUCAAAUCCAAUUUAAUUAAACUCUUAAAGUCACAUGGAUGCUAUUCUUCUUACAAGCCUCCAGCAUUUUAUCAUUCCUCCAUCCUGGAUGCAUCUCCAUCUAAAACCAAGAUAAUCAAUAAUGAUGAUAAUGUAAUCACAAGAAAAUUGGCAUUAAGACCUGAGGCGAUACUAUCUGACCUGACACACGGAGGGCACUGUCUGAGCAAAGCCCAGAAGCUUGUUGAGCUUCUUAAUAGUAAAAUUGCAUACACCAAUAUCUCUAACAAGAUUAUCCUUGACAAGCUUCUCCAUUUCUCGCCAAACCCCUUCCAUGUCAAAGUCCAACACGUGCGCUGCCUUGGGAGGUAAGCUGACUCCAUCUUUCAGAUGGAUAGGCCAAUGGAUCAGAUAAAGAUAAAGAUAGUCAAGUUGCAGUUCGUUUAGGGUACUGUUCAGAGCUUUGCGAACCCUAUCCGGAGACAAAUCAGUGCACCACAGCUUGGACGUGACAAAGAGAUGCUUCCUCUGAAUCCCUGCAUGUAUGGCUGCCUUGAGUCCGUCUCCGACUUCUUCUUCGACUUCAUACUCCAUCACCGUAUCUAUGUGCCUGUAACCAGUCUCAACGAUGCCAGUGAAUACAGAAUCUUCCAAGUGCCCAAACCAACAGCAGGGAUGGCGUGACCACUCAAUAGCCUAAAUGACUCAAUCUUUUGACCAGACGGAGUGAAGGUUGCCUGAG